UCCCAUAUUGUCUAGUGGCUAGAAUUCCUGGCUUUCACCCAGGAGGCUCGGGUUCGAUUCCCGGUAUGGGAA
rfam:Daphnia pulex DAPPTscaffold_2230_Cont13985, whole genome shotgun sequence.